rnacentral:pre_miRNA from 1 species
UAUCUACUCCUUCCGUUCCGAAUUACUUGUCGCAGGUAUGGAUAUAUCUAGAUGCAUUUUAGUUCUAGAUGCAUCCAUUUUUACGACGAGUAAUUUGAAACGGAGAAAGUAGAUA